UACGGGGGGGGCAAGCGUUGUUCGGAAUUACUGGGCGUAAAGGGCUCGUAGGCGGCCAACUAAGUCAGACGUGAAAUCCCUCGGCUUAACCGGGGAACUGCGUCUGAUACUGGAUGGCUUGAGUGUGGGAGGGGGAUGCGGAAUUCCAGGUGUAGCGGUGAAAUGCGUAGAUAUCUGGAGGAACACCGGUGGCGAAGGCGGCAUCCUGGACCACGACUGACGCUGAGGAGCGAAAGCCAGGGGAGCAAACGGGA
rnacentral:rRNA from 1 species